CAGUGAACGCUAACGCACAGUAGGCACAGUAGGUGGUGGCGAAUGACGAAAAUGGUGUAGAUGGCGCUUGCGCGGACGCGGCAAAAUUUUAAAUCUGACUGGUGUCGAUUAAAAUGGAAUCUGAAAAGCAUUUGAAAACAUGUAUGUCCUCUCAGUUGUAGGUUUUUAAAAGGCAACCUCCACUCGUGAAGAUUUCUCAAACUUAAGUGCCUAACAAAUACCUACGUCAUAAAUUACUGGAAAUAUUCGUUCUUAAUUAACUAUAAGGCCACGUACUCAACAGUAAUGUGAUAUAAUUCCUGAUACUUAAUUACAACUAAGAGGUAUCAACCGGGGAAUAUCCCAUCCGGCACCAGGCAGUAACCGGAGGAUUACCGUUCCGAUCGACCAUUCCCCAGGCAUCAACCGGGGGAUAUACUUUUCCGCCCUCCAGGGAUUAAUCGGAGAACUCCCGUCCCAAGUGACCUUCCUCCAGGCAUCAACCGGGGCAUAACCGACACGACCUAGCGCCACUCGGCAUUAAUCACAACCGCCGUCCACCUUUUGUACGUGGAGCAUAUGCUUGCGUCCAUGAUUGCUGUGUAUAUUGUGUGUUGAAUAAAUAUUUUCCUACCA